CGUCAUUGUGCGACUUCGCGCGGCCGACCUGAAAAGACAUGGCUGCCCACGGUGAUAGCUAGAUAUUUUCAAACGCUCAUUUCAGGAUUAAAAAAGGAAUUGUUGUCAAAGAGGCUGAAAAAGUUUACCCCAACAUGGAGGAUGAAUGGGAAGAAGAGGAGCAGCUCGUUGUGGUCGAGCUGUCAGGAAUGAUAAAUUCAGACUUUCUAACCAAAUGUCAGGGGAAAUUAAAAGUUGUGGGGAUAGACACCGAACAACCUAUGAUGCAAGUGGGAAAUUAUGUAUUUGCAGGGGAAUAUGAAGAUGCUCUGGCUACUUGUGUGAUAUUUGAAGAAAGCAGUGGCAGUAACGGUGAGGCAGAGUCCAGCCCCAAACUCAAGUACAAGUGCCACACCGUGAAGAAGCUCAUGAUGCAGCGCACCUUCCUCUCUGAGAGGAAAGAGGGAGAAUCCAGCUCAGAGGGCAUCGAAUUUUUACAGCUGAACGACGGAGAGGAGCGCCAACGAAGCUGGAUCUGCAACUUUGACCACGACCCGAGCGUGACGGCAGAGUCCGGUAAACGUGGCGUGAAGGAGGGGUCGGAAUCUGGCAACCGAAGCCCCGUUUUCGAAUCGGGAACUGGCAACCGAAGCCCCGGGUCCGAUUCGGACGCAGAGGCCAGCGACUCGGAGCAGGUGGGGCGUAGUAACGAAGGCGCCGAGAUGGAUUUGGAUCCGGGAACCUCGGUUUGCCGAGAGCCUGCGGACGGCUUGGAUGCCGGAGACUAAAAGGAUGCAGGUGGAGGGAAAUUCCACCCCUGCGGAGCUGCUACUAAUUCAGACCCAAGAAACCAGAUGAGGUGGGCUGACUGCGUAAUCCACCGUGCUGAUUAACUAAGACCAGCAGACCCUGCGGAGGCUACCCAGGACCAAGAAUAAAGAUCGGGACUUUACAGACUGUAAAUGGUUUAUUUAAAAUAGGGCUGCUCAUCCCUGUUCCCUGGAGAGCUACAGUCCUGCAGGUUUUCAUUUCAACACUAAUUUGGCACACCUGAUUCUAAUUAGCCGCUCAAGGUUGAGCACAACUGAUAUGAAACGACUUCGAAAUCUGUCUAAAAACGGCUGCACCAGGGACCCAGCAGUGGACAGUUUUGUGACGAUGGGCGGGAUCCUCAAGAUAUACGUGCUUGGCACGUUGCUGUCUGUUGUAGUUGCGAUAAUUGCACUUGUAGACUCCGUUGGAGGUUUGAUGUACUGUCGGGGACAAGAUCUCAGCGAAACGGAAAACAUCGGUGUGACACAAAAACAUUCCUCUGGGAUCCGUUCGAGAAGCACUGCAGCAGCAUUACCAAGAUGACUCGUGCAUAUUUGACUCAAAUGUCGUUUUUAUUCAUCUGACAAGGAACACAGUGCAAUGGGGGUAUCGAUCAAAACCGUGUCCGUGGUCAAAAUACUUUGCUUUCGAACUGACAGAUUUCACGCAACAAAUGCUUUGCUAUCACGAACAACGGAAACCACUUUGUGUUUUGGACCGCCACUGAUGAGGAAUGCUGCACUUUGACCACGAGUCUGUGAACCAACUGAAGAUGUGGAUAUAAGCCUCAGCUGAAGCACGGGAGUGUGAAAUGGGACAUUUUCUUGAUGGCUCGGGGCAGCUGACUGACUAACGGACAGGCUGCCGUCGCAAUGAAGCACCAUUUGCACUAGAACUUGUCCCCCCCCAUUUUGUUAACUUUUUGUUUGUUUUUGUAUGGCUAAAAGGUGUAUUUUAGAAAUAAAGGUUGACAUCAGUUGUUUGCAAUUAA